rnacentral:rRNA from 1 species
UGGGGAAUAUUGGGCAAUGGACGCAAGUCUGACCCAGCGACGCCGCGUGCGGGAUGAAGGCCUUCGGGUUGUAAACCGCUUUCAGCAGGGAAGAAGCGAAAGUGACGGUACCUGCAAAAGAAGCACCGGCUAACUAUGUGCCAGCAGCCGCGGUAAUACAUAGGGUGCAAGCGUUGUCCGGAAUUAUUGGGCGUAAAGAGCAGGUAGGUGGUUGUGUAAGUCUGCUGUGAAAGCUCCCGGCUUAACUGGGAGAGGUCAGCGGAUACUGCAUAGCUAGAGUGUGGGAGAGGGUACUGGAAUUCCCGGUGUAGCGGUGAAAUGCGCAGAGAUCGGGAGGAACACCAAAGGCGAAAGCAGGUACCUGGACCAUUACUGACACUAAGCUGCGAAAGCUAGGGGAGCAAACAGG